GUCACGCUGUAAACGAUGUCGAUUUGGAGGUUGUUCCCUUGAGGAGUGGCUUCCGGAGCUAACGCGUUAAAUCGACCGCUGGGGAGUACGGCCGCAAGGUUAAAACUCAAAUGAAUUGACGGGGGCCCGCACAAGCGGUGGAGCAUGUGGUUUAAUUCGAUGCAACGCGAAGAACCUUACCUACUCUUGACAUCCAGAGAAUUUAGCAGAGAUGCUUUAGUGCCUUCGGGAACUCUGAGACAGGUGCUGCAUGGCUGUCGUCAGCUCGUGUUGUGAAAUGUUGGGUUAAGUCCCGCAACGAGCGCAACCCUUAUCCUUUGUUGCCAGCACAUUAUGGUGGGAACUCAAAGGAGACUGCCGGUGAUAAACCGGAGGAAGGUGGGGAUGACGUCAAGUCAUCAUGGCCCUUACGAGUAGGGCUACACACGUGCUACAAUGGCGUAUACAAAGAGAAGCGACCUCGCGAGAGCAAGCGGAACUCAUAAAGUACGUCGUAGUCCGGAUUGGAGUCUGCAACUCGACUCCAUGAAGUCGGAAUCGCUAGUAAUCGUAGAUCAGAAUGCUACGGUGAAUACGUUCCCGGGCCUUGUACACACCGCCCGUCACACCAUGGGAGUGGGUUGCACCAGAAGUAGAUAGCUUAACCGCGAGGGGGGCGUUUACCACGGUGUGAUUCAUGACUGGGGUGAAGUCGUAACAAGGUAACCA
rnacentral:rRNA from 1 species